UAGGGAAUCUUCGGCAAUGGACGAAAGUCUGACCGAGCAACGCCGCGUGAGUGAAGAAGGUUUUCGGAUCGUAAAACUCUGUUGUUAGAGAAGAACAAGGACGUUAGUAACUGCACGUCCUCUGACGGUAUCUAACCAGAAAGCCACGGCUAACUACGUGCCAGCAGCCGCGGUAAUACGUAGGUGGCAAGCGUUGUCCGGAUUUAUUGGGCGUAAAGCGAGCGCAGGCGGUUUCUUAAGUCUGAUGUGAAAGCCCCCGGCUCAACCGGGGAGGGUCAUUGGAAACUGGGAGACUUGAGUGCAGAAGAGGAGGGUGGAAUUCCAUGUGUAGCGGUGAAAUGCGUAGAUAUAUGGAGGAACACCAGUGGCGAAGGCGGCUCUAUGGUCUGUAACUGACGCUGAGGCUAGAAAGCGUGGGGAGCAAACAGG
rnacentral:rRNA from 1 species